rnacentral:rRNA from 1 species
AGGACGAACGCUGGCGGCGUGCUUAACACAUGCAAGUCGAGCGGUAAGGCCUUUCGGGGUACACGAGCGGCGAACGGGUGAGUAACACGUGGGUGAUCUGCCCUGCACUCUGGGAUAAGCCUGGGAAACUGGGUCUAAUACCGGAUAUGACCUGCUCUCGCAUGGGGGGUGGGUGGAAAGAUUUAUCGGUGCAGGAUGGGCCCGCGGCCUAUCAGCUUGUUGGUGGGGUAAUGGCCUACCAAGGCGACGACGGGUAGCCGACCUGAGAGGGUGACCGGCCACACUGGGACUGAGACACGGCCCAGACUCCGUACGGGAGGCAGCAGUGGGAAUAUUGCACAAUGGGACGAAAGCCUGAUGCAGCGACGCCGCGUGAGGGAUGAAGGCCGUUCGGGUUAGUAAACCGUCUUUCAGCGAGGACGAAGCGACGAAGUCGACGGUACCUGCAAGGAAAGAACGACGACCGGACUAACUACGUGCCAGCACGCCGUAC